CUACGGAGGGUGCAAGCGUUAAUCGGAAUUACUGGGCGUAAAGCGUACGUAGGCGGUCCGUUAAGUUAGAUGUGAAAGCCCCGGGCUUAACCUGGGAACCGCAUUUAAAACUGGCGGACUAGAGUUGAGUAGAGGGGAGUGGAAUUUCAGGUGUAGCGGUGAAAUGCGUAGAGAUCUGAAGGAACACCAGUGGCGAAGGCGACUCCCUGGACUCGAACUGACGCUGAGGUACGAAAGCGUGGGUAGCAAACGGGAUUAGAAACCCCAGUAGUCC
rnacentral:rRNA from 1 species